CCUACGGGGGGCUGCAGUGAGGAAUAUUGGUCAAUGGCCGGAAGGCUGAACCAGCCAUGCCGCGUGAAGGUCAGUGCCCUAUGGGCGUUAAACUUCUUUUGUGCGGGAGCAAUAAUGGUCACGUGUGGCCAGACGAGAGUACCGUACGAAUAAGCAUCGGCUAACUCCGGGCAAGCAGCCGCGGUAAUACGGGGGGAGCAAGCGUUAUCCGGGUUUAUUGGGUUUAAAGGGUGCGUAGGCUGUGAGGUAAGUCAGCGGUGAAAUGCCCCCGCUCAACGGGGUGAAGUGCCAUUGAUACUGCCUAGCUAGAAUGCGAAUGCGGUGGGAGGAAUGUGAGGUGUAGCGGUGAAAUGCAUAGAUAUCACACAGAACACCGAAUGCGAAGGCAUCUCACGAAUCCGCGAUUGACGCUGAUGCACGAAAGCGUGGGUAUCAAACAGGAUUAGAUACCCGUGUAGUC
rnacentral:rRNA from 1 species